ensembl:misc_RNA 7SK 7SK RNA
GGAUAUGAGGGUGAUCCCGGCUGUGACAUGUGUCACCCCAUUGAUUGCCAGGGCUGAUUCGGCUGAUCUGGCUGGCUAGGCGGGUGUCCCCUCCCUCCCUCACCGCUCCAUGUGCGCCCCACCCGAAGCUGCACGCUUGGUCGAAGAGGACGACCAUCCCCGCUAGAGGAAGACCGGUCUUCAGUCAAGGGUAUACGAGUAGCUGCGCUCCCCUGCUAGAACAUCCAAACAAGAAUUAGCACUAAAAAAUGAAAUUAUUUCAUCUGUUACCUUCCAGAUACCACUAAAUUGAAAGUAAAGUUAGCCACGAGCUUGAAAGAUCUGAAGAGAAAUCUGGGUUUGCGCAGUAUUUAAUUUC